GUUUUUGUAGUUGAAUACAACAGUAGUUUUUCAGACUAUAGGUCAAGGUUAAAAUCCUUGCAGAAAUU
rnacentral:tRNA from 1 species